rnacentral:lncRNA from 1 species
AUGAUAUUUGACGUAUCAGGUUCAGAGAAGGAUUUUCGAGAUUUCUAGAAUUUUUAGUUUGGAUUUUCUUUUGAGGUAAGUAGUGUUUACUUUUAUUGAAUUUAUCUGAUAAAUUAUAAAUUUUGAAUUAAAUAAAUUUAUGCAUGCUUGUGAUUGAAAUUAUUUAUUGAAAUAAUUAUUGAAAUUAUUUAUGAUUAAAAUUAAUUAUAAAAAAUUAUUUAUGAUUGA